AUAUAUAUAUGAAACCAUAAUUCAACAACAAUAUAUCACAAACCACAUAUUUAUAUCACAAACAAAUUUGUCACGACAAGUCCGAAAUUCACAAUAUCUUACAAACCAAAAGUUCAAAGUUCAUAAGUUCAUUGUAUAAAAAACAACUCCCCAAGCUGCUCACGGUGACUGUGAGGGUUGGGAUGGCCCAAGGUGCGAUCUCGAUGACGGUCCGGGUGGGGAAUAGCCCGACGUGCGAUGCCGACGACCCUCCAUAAUGGUUCGAUGCCUCCGUCUGAUUGAUGCUGCACAAAAGAGAAGAGAUUGCACGUGAAUGACAAGAUAAAUAUGUAAGUAGUUUAAAGAAAAGUUAAAAAAUUCAGCAUCACCUCCCAUGCAUGGGGAGGUUUCCAAAACCUACAAGAAAAACGUCGGCAUGAAGGUCGACAACCACAGUUCCGGUAUGAAGGCCGACACAUCAAAAAAUUCAGCACGAAGGCCCAGACAUUCACAAAUCCGGCACGAAGGCCAUCACUAGGUUUGACACUAAGCAUGAGCAUAGAAAAUAAAACAUUCGUACUCAUCACCAGGCAGAGGCACUCGGCAAAGAAGCUUACUUUGCCGAGUGCUAAGUCCUAGCACUCAGCAAAGCUUAACAGCGUGGGUGGGAUCGACUGUCACUUGAUGCUGUUUUUGCCGAGGGCCAGCAUUGCUGAGUGUUGCACUCGACAAAAAAGGCCUUUGCCGAGUGUCACUCUUUGCCAAGUGCGAGGUACUCGAUGGCACUCGACAAAGGCCUAUUAUGCCGAGUGCAACACUCGGCAAACUAAGGAUUUGCUGUGUGCCCAUGUUAACUCGACAAAGCCUCCUGCACUCACCAAACAGCACAAUCCCCCGGAUUCCCUCAUCCAAAGGCGUCGGCGUCGAUCAUGUGGUUACUGGCACCUAUGUCCAACACCCACACACCGUUAGGGACAUCCCACGGGACCGCGUUCUCCGCUAGGUGAACAAUGUAUGUCGGCCUGCGUAUGAUGUCACGUUGCCAGCAUGAGCAUCGGCCCCAUGCUGCCCACGGCCACGUCCCUUCCGAUUAGUGUCUCCCUUGGUGAGGACAGAUGACCUUCGGUGAACCUCGAUUAAAGAUGUCAAUGGGGGCCCACGAUCCGCGACCCGAUGGGUAUUUACUCUAUUAGUGUAUCAAUAUGGAGUGAAACCAGUACCCAUGGGUACAUAAACGGAGCAAACCCUUUACCCAUUGGGUACGCGGGUAUGGGGACGUUCUAGUAGUCCCCAUACCCAUUUACCCAUGGGUGAAAAAUACCCAGUCUAAAACUAAAGAAGCCCACCAGCCACCAGUCCACCGGCAGCCCAUACAUUGAAACCCUAUGUAGUGCUAGCAAAGUACUACUCUCUACUAUGUGAUUUGUAUGGACAAUGAACUAUUAUGGUGUUGUGACUAGUGGUUGCAGCAGAAAUUAUUAUGUUGCUAUUUGCUAGGUAUAUGGUGGGGUGGCUAUGUGACGAUGCUUGUGAAUGGCUAUGUGACGAUGCUUGUGAAUUGCUACUACGUGACUGGUGCUUGUGAAUUGUUGAUGUUUGGCGGGUAUGGGUGACCCGCUGGGUCUAAUUUACCCACCCGGGUAUGGGUCUGGAGAAAUUCCCCCACCCAUCACUGUAUAUGGGGAUACCCGUGGUGUCAUAUUGUUGUCAUGGGGAUGGGUCUGGGGAGUUCAUACCCGAUGGGAAUUUACCCAUUGCCAACACUAACCUCGAUGGCUAUAGGUCGGAGUGCCGUCAUCGAAGUGAGGAACACCCAAGCACCCCAAAGGUCUUAAUGGACCUUCAUCGUGGCUCGACUAGGGCCCAUGAGGAAAGGCGUUUUUUGCAAGAGAAAGUCGACGAUGCUCUUUGUGUGAGAACUCUAUGAAUAGGGAAUAUUCGGCAAUAUACCCUAGCUAGCGGAGGGUAGAAGCAUACAAGAAAAUACAUAUAAUAACGAUACCCUAUAAAAGAGGGACUCGGGUUUCAAUUAAGAGAGAGCAUUUUUUUUUGCUUAGAAACGACCUUGGAGCUUUAGCCUCGGUAAUCGUGUAGUCAUCUGACAAUGGAGGCCCCCAGGCUCGUGUCAAGGGACUUCAUUGUCGAAAGUUCGAACCGCCCCAUGUUCAACCUCCUCCUUGUCACUUGUUCAGGAGAUCGAAACCACUCUGGCCCUGUUUAGAUUGGAGAUGAAAAUUUUUUGGGUGUCACAUCGGAUAUGUCGGAAGGAUGUCGGGAGAGGUUUUUAGAUACUAAUAAAAAAACAAAUUACAUAGCUCGUCAGAAAACUGCAAGACAAAUCUAUUAAGCAUAAUUAAUUUGUCAUUAACACAUGUUGGUUACUGUAGCACUUAAAGCUAAUCAUGGAGUAACUAGACUUAAAAGAUUCGUCUCGCGAUUUUCAACCAAACUGUGUAAUUAUUUUAUUUUUUUAAUGUACAUUUAAUGUUCCAUGCAUGUGUCCAAAGAUUCGAUAGGAUGGAUGAAAAAAUUUUGGGUAAAAAACUAAACAGAGAUUCAGGAGAGCGCACGUGGGUUAUGUUUAAUUUGAAGCUUCACGCUUUGUAUCAUCUAUAAAGUGUUGAACAGGUCAUUAACAGCCUUACCCGGCCUGCAGGAAAUUUUAACUAAGUAAUAAACGACCAGUGUUUGUCCCAUGAGCUUUGAAUCUUGAGUAUUGUACUCGAUCUUGAUCCCAAGUUUUAACGACGCGAUGAUGCUUGUGAGAACACUGACAGAGACCGCCAACGUACAGACGACGAUGCUGGGUGUACAUAGCAUAGCCAGCAGGCAUAAAGCCAAGUACGUACAUACGCCGCAGUGCAUAGGCAGCUGGCAAGGGGUGUACGGUGACACAACCGAAGCAUGUCUACACUCCGGCGAAGGGCGGCGGCAGUGACGGACCCAGAAAUUGACCAAGACUGGCCAAAUUUUGGUGGCCAAAAUCCAAAAGCUAUAACCUAUACCUAUAGUCUAUAGGACCAUAUAUAUAUACACAAACACACAGCGAGUGACAUGUCCUAGUUUGGACAAGAUAUAAGAGUUAAUAAGAACAACGAUAGCCAAAAUCAUAAUCGCAGCAAGUGACAUGCCCUUUUCAUCUAAUUGGAAUCAAAAUUUCACAAUUAGUAAUUGAAAUAAAAAAAUAAGAACUGAACUACUGAAAAUUAAAAGAAUACAUACCUUCUGCUAAUCUACUCCACUGGCACUCUUGCAGCGAGUGGCAUGCACGCAGUCAGCAGUCCGGUCGCGGGUCGGCCCUGGUUACUUGGUCAGGUCGCGGUCGAGGGGCUUCAAGGAGGCAGCAAGCAGAGGAGCUGAGGAGGGACGCCGGAGUCCGCGAGCUGGCGACCACGAGGGCACGCGACUACGCGAGGCUGAGGCGUGCUGCACUGCGCCGCGUGCAGCGGUGUGCAGGGGGCAGCGGGGCACGUGCAGGGGGCAGGGGGCGGCAGGG
rnacentral:lncRNA from 1 species